GAUGAACGCUGGCGGCGUGCCUAAUACAUGCAAGUCGAACGAAACUUCUUUAUCACCGAGUGCUUGCACUCACCGAUAAAGAGUUGAGUGGCGAACGGGUGAGUAACACGUGGGCAACCUGCCCAAAAGAGGGGGAUAACACUUGGAAACAGGUGCUAAUACCGCAUAACCAUAGUUACCGCAUGGUAACUAUGUAAAAGGUGGCUAUACUACCGCUUUUGGAUGGGCCCGCGGCGCAUUAGCUAGUUGGUAGGGUAAAGGCUUACCAAGGCAAUGAUGCGUAGCCGAAUUGAGAGGUUGAUCGGCCACAUUGGGACUGAGACACGGCCCAAACUCCUACGGGAGGCAGCAGUAGGGAAUCUUCCACAAAGGGCGAAAGCCUGAUGGGGCAACGCCGCGUGGGUGAAGAAGGUCUUCGGAUCGUAAAACCCUGUUGUUAGAGAAGAAAGUGCGUGAGAGUAACUGUUCACGUUUCGACGGUAUCUAACCAGAAAGCCACGGCUAACUACGUG
rnacentral:rRNA from 1 species